rnacentral:lncRNA from 1 species
CGGAGUAAAAACCACGUGGUUCAGCCCUUGUCCUGCUGCUUCUGGUUGUCAGCACAAGGAGUUCUUGUGUUUACCCAGACUUCAGGGCAAUUGCCCGUCACUAACAACACAACAUCCCUCAGUCCCACUGCCCCGAGCCAGGUGAGGGAGCAGGACAGAGCCGGUGGGAGGCCAGCGCUGCCAGGGAAGGACAGGCAGCCCUCAGGACAGCAGGACUAAGGGACAAGAGAUUUGUCAUGGACUACACGGUAGAGACCAGCCAGCUAAAGCAGAAGCUUCUGAAAACCAUCUACAGCCUCCAGGUGAAGUCUUUUACCACACUGCAGUCAGCCAGCCCACUGCUGCACAGCCAGCGCGGCAUGGGCAUGGUGACCCAGCACCAGGUCCACCAGCUGGCAGAUAAGGCCAAAAGCCUGUGUGGAGAUCUAGACAACAUCAAGAACCUCCUCCACUAUUGCCAGGAUGACUUGGUCCGGCAGAUUCCCAACCCCACUGGCAGCUGCUAUGGGGGUGUCAGCGGAAUCCAUUGUUCCCUGGAUGGCUCCAUCUACGUGACAGCUGAGAGUGCUCCCUGGGUCCACGUCCUCAGCAGCACAGGCCACACACUGCAGGCCCUGCCCUGCCAGCAGACGGGCAAGGGAGGCAGCAUUUUCUUGCCGGAAGAUGUGACUGUGACUAGGAUGGGAAUGGUGGCUGUAGCUGACAUGGUGAAUGAAGCCAUCUGGAUCUUCAACCCUCACACCAGGCUCUUCAAGAAGGAAUGGAUAAAGAUCAGGAAGGUUGCUUCAAGCCUUGUCCAGCCUGGCCUUGGACACUUCCAGGGAUGGGACAUUGCCCCAGACCUGACUGCCUGAUGGCCCCCAGCUUCUCCAGGACUAGACCAGCUCUGGACUUACCACAGUAUGUAAAGCUACUCAGAAUUGGUCUUGCAUUGGUGCCUUGGCAAACUUGGCAC